ACGCUCGACACCUACGGGAGGCAGCAGGUGGGGAAUAUUGCACAAGUGGGGGGAACCCUGAUGCAGCGACGCCGCGUGAGUGAAGAAGUACUUCGGUAUGUAAAGCUCUAUCAGCAGGGAAGAAAAUGACGGUACCUGACUAAGAGGCCCCGGCUAACUACGUGCCAACAGCCGCGGUAAUCUGAGCGGGCUGGCAAGGC
rnacentral:rRNA from 1 species